rnacentral:rRNA from 1 species
GGGUAAANNNNNNGUUUCGGUGCGGGCUGCGAAAGCGGUACCAAGUCGUGACGAACUYAGARUACAAGGUAUAGCUUUCUGUCAACCAGUGAGACUACGACGGAUAAGCGCCGUAGUCAAGAGGGAAACAGCCCAGAUCACCAGCUAAGGCCCCUAAAUGGACGCUAAGUGGUAAAGGAUGUGGGAAUGCGAAAACAACCAGGAAGUUCGCUUAGAAGCAGCUAACUUUAAAAGAGUGCGUAACAGCUCACUGGUAACAGCGUUCUUGCGCCGACAAUGGCCGGGACUAAGCGUCCUGCCGAAGCUGUGGGAUCGAGAAUAACUCGUAUCGGUAGGAGAGCGUUCUGCUAUCGGGUGAAGCUAGUACGUAAGUAUUGGUGGACGUAGCAGAAGUGAGAAUGUCGGCUUGAGUAACGAAAACAUUGGUGAGAAUCCAAUGCCCUGAAAACCUAAGAAUUCCUUCACUAGGCUCGUCCAUGAAGGGUUAGUCAGGACCUAAGGCAAGGCCGAAUGGCGUAGUCGACGGAAAUCAGGUUAAUAUUCCUGAACUUAUUUAAACGCUUCAGAUCCCGAGGGACGGAGGAGGCUAAACUAGGUUUGUUUAUGGAUUGCAAUGGAAGCGAUUAAGGCGUUGAGAGAUUGAAUAAAAACAAUUCUUGAGCUGAGACGUGAUCCCGUCUGAUUAAGUCUUCGGAUUUGAUUGGACGCUAGUGAUGUCAUACUCCCAAGAAAAGCUCGUUCGAUUUUAGUUUAAAUAACCUGUAUCUGAAACCGACACANGGUAGGUNNNGGGUAGAGAAUACCUAAGSRCGCGAGAGNAACUCUCUUUAAGGAACUCGGCAAAUUGGCCCCGUAACUNNNGGAGAANGG